UACGGAGGAUCCAAGCGUUAUCCGGAUUCAUUGGGUUUAAAGGGUGCGUAGGCGGAAUGAUAAGUCAGUGGUGAAAGCCUGUUGCUUAACAACAGAACUGCCAUUGAUACUGUCAAUCUUGAGUACAUUUGAUGUGGGCGGAAUGUGUCAUGUAGCGGUGAAAUGCUUAGAUAUGACACAGAACACCGAUUGCGAAGGCAGCUCACAAGACUGUAACUGACGCUGAGGCACGAAAGCGUGGGCAUCAAACAGG
rnacentral:rRNA from 1 species